rnacentral:lncRNA from 1 species
GCGCAGGGAUAGCUGGUGUGCGUGCAGCGGAAGGCGCUAACUGCCCUGGAUGUGGAGACCCGCGGACUGGACGUGAGAGGCGGGCAGGGGCAGUUGGGGCAGCUGCCCCUACAACACUGAAGAAUUGGAAUAGGAAAGAGUGUGGGGGUAGGGGACGGGGACUCUUUGUCUGCAGUUGGAAUGCGCGGAGGGGCAUGGUGGAAUGUGUCGCGUCCCGGGACCGGACGACAGGAGGCAUGUUCUGCGCUAGCACCGUGACUUUGUUCCCAGCGUGGGGACUGUGGGAGAGAUGGAGAGAGACUGGUACAGAAAUGGUGAGACAAGGAGAGAGCCAUAAAGAGGAAGACAGAGAGAAAGAAGACAAAUGCAUAAAGAGGUUCAGAGACGUGUACGUAAAGAUAGCCCUGAAAGGCGACGAAGCCCACAGAGAGAGGUGGAAGAGGGAAGAGGUAGCGAAAGAAAGGGAGAGCUGAGGAGCAAAGAGGAGUGUGGACGAUGCAGAGACCGAAGGGUGCGCAGACAAAGGAAAGGACAAGCUUGUCCAGAGAGAAUGAGAGACAAACAGAUAAACUGCAAUAAAAAGGCACCACCUUCUGGACCCAAAAGUUUUGUGAUUUGUAAAAGCAGUGAAAAGGAGUCAGGAAAAUGGGACUAAUCUCUACUUUGAGAGGGAGGGAAAGAGAUAUAGUGUGUAUGUAGAAGCAGUGAAAAGGAGUGAGGAAAAGGUUUGGGACUAAUCUCUACCUUAAGGGUAGGACAGUUAGAGGGAUAGACACCCCCUGGUGUUGGGAAAUGAGAUUUUUCUCAUUUCAGGUGACUGUGGAGAUCGAAGGCCUGGUUUUAGGGCUAGCGAACACCUUCUCCCUUUGGUUUUGGUCCACAGAAGACUGGUGAUACAGACUCCUUAUCAGUGUAAUUGUGGGGACUGGUCACCAGCUCUUGCUUGAGCUUUUCCAGAAGAAACUUCACUACUGAAAUAUUCCAAGAGGACUUGAUGCUGCCACAAAGAGAAGAGAAUGAAUAAAGUUGUCGGCUUUGUAAGAGCCAGACAAACAGAGAUACCCAGCACUAAUCAACUUUGUGGCAAAUCCCUCCACAGCCUAAGAAGUCUGCCACAAGAACAUUUUAAACCUUCCUCCAUGAUGGGCAGCAGAACUCCCUGACUAGUCCUCCAGAUCCUUCUCAAGCACAGAAUAGAGAGAGCAUGAUGGUGAGUGAGGAUACUGUCCUUCCUGCAGGUCUUCAGUUCCACCACACUCUCCUAAGGGAAGGAAGAAGCCAGGCCUCAAUGCUGUACCUCUCUCUGGAGGCAGCAGGCACAAGUGGAAUGGAAGUGAUGGAAAAUCCUGCUUUUAUGCAAAUUGUAACUAUAAACUCAUUAUAGUCAAUAUGAACAUUGUAUGGCUAAAGAAUAUCUCCAGCCAGGCAUGGUGGCUCACGCCUGUAAUCCCAACACUUUGGGAGGCCGAGGUGGGUGAAUUGCCU